rnacentral:rRNA from 1 species
CCCUACGGGACGCAGCAGUGGGGAAUAUUGCACAAUGGGGGGAACCCUGAUGCAGCAAUGCCGCGUGGGUGAAGAAGCACUCCGGUGCGUAAAGCCCUGUCAGCAGGGAAGAAAAUGACAGUACCUGGACAAGAAGCCCCGGCUAACUACGUGCCAGCAGCCGCGGUAAUACGUAGGGGGCAAGCGGUAUCCGGAUUUACUGGGUGUAAAGGGAGCGUAGACGGAGAAGCAAGUCUGAAGUGAAAGCCCGUGGCUUAACCACGGGACUGCUUUGGAAACUGUUUGACUAGAGUGCUGGAGAGGUA